GUUGGUCUUACCCUAARACGGUGCGCUAACCGCAAGGAGGCAGCCGGCCACGGUARGGUCAGCGACUGGGGUGAAGUCGUAACAAGGUUUCCGUAGGUGAACCUGCAGAAGGAUCA
rnacentral:rRNA from 1 species